GUUGAGUUUUCUAGUUUGUGCCGCGGGAAAACAGACAGACAGACGGGCUAAGCUACAAUAAACACAGCGAAACGCCCAGAGCAACGAAAGUACAAGUGUCCAGUACAAACAGACUGCAGAGAGCCCAGACAGAAAGACAGCUAGCACUGUAGUCUACAGCAAACUGGCGGACCACAGCACUGCGGUUACUUCUUCCUUGUAAAACACGCUUAUGUUAUCAACCAACGCACAUCUUUUUUUUUAAAAUAAUGUAGUGCCGUACACUUUAACACAACAGGAUAACAAUGCCUAAGAGUUCUCUGUGAUUGUUCUCUGGUUCUAUGAGGAAUAGGAUCCUGUAAAGAGAUCUGCCUGCUUAGAAACACAAAAAACGUUUGGCUACAGCGCUAUUGCAGUAGAAACCAUCGCUAUGGCCGAUCGGGAACAUAACAAGAGGGUUCUGUUGGAGCUUUUGAAACGUCCGGGCAAUGCCAACUGUGCCGACUGUGGAGACCCGGACCCAGACUGGGCCUCAUAUAAGCUCGGAGUGUUCAUUUGCCUGAACUGUUCUGGAAUCCACCGCAACCUCACAGAGAUCAGCCGAGUGAAAUCGAUCCGACUCGACUUUUGGGAUGAUGACUUGGUUGAGUUUAUGAAAGCUAAUGGCAAUGCUGUGGCCAAGGAGAGAUAUGAGAAGAACGUCCCAGCUUUCUUCUACAGACCUCAAGCCACUGACUGCGCAGUUUUAAGGGAACAGUGGAUAAGAGCCAAAUAUGAACGGCAGGAGUUCAGUGGCAACAACGAGGAUCCCCGGGACAUGACCUGCUCUGGUUGCCAUGAGGGGUUUCUUUGGAAAAGGGGAAAAGACAACAGACAGUUUGUGAAAAGAAAAUUUAUUCUUUCAGGGAUGGAUUUUACACUGAUGUACUACACCAAACAAGUGUCCAAAGGUCCCAAGGCUGUGAUAUCCAUCAAGGAUUUGAACGUCACAUUCCAGCCAGAGAAAAUCAAGCACCCCCACGGGCUGCAGAUCACCUACCUGAAAGAGGAUCACACGAGGAGCAUCUUUGUGUAUCAUGAAGGAACGCAGGAAAUCGUGAGCUGGUUCAAUGCAAUCAGAGCAGCACGCUUCUCAUAUCUGAAAACAGCUUUCCCCACUGCUAGUGACUCGGAGCUUGUCCCGUUGAUAACAAGGAAUUAUUUAAAAGAAGGGUACAUGGAAAAGACUGGUCCAAUGCAAAGGGAACCCUUCAAGAAACGAUGGUUCAUUCUGGAUUCCCAGGACAGGAAGCUGCUCUACUUCAAGGACCCCUUGGGCAUCCUUGUACGGUGCUGCUCAUGGCUGUGGUGUUUCUCAGGAAGCGGUAGAGAAAGGCUCCGUUUUCAUCGGGAACAAGGAGCACGGAUACAAAGUGACGAACGUCCUGCCCAAAGGAGUCCGGGGAAGCCGCUGGAAAUGUGGCAUCACCGUUGAAACCCCAGAGAGGCAGUUCAUCUUCACCUGUGAGAACGAGAGGGAGCAGCGCGAGUGGAUGGAGGCUCUGAACCAAGUCAUCUCCAAGCCCAUGUCCCCACAGGACUAUACGAUGGAAGCCAACGUCCGACGAAGGCGAUGACAUAGGAGGUGCAGCAGCUGAUAUUUCUGAAGAGCUGGACCUGGAGCUCUGCUGCCCCGGGGGACCUUAAACCAGGGGAUCCCCACUAACCCGAACCCUAACCCUUAACACACCAGGGGAUCCCCACUAACCCGAGCCCUAACCUUAACACACCAGGGGAUCCCCACUAAACCAAACCCUAACCCUUAACACACCAGGGGAUCCCCACUAACCCGAGCCCUAACCUUAACACACCAGGGGAUCCCCACUAACCCGAACCCUAACCCUUAACACACCAGGGGAUCCCCACUAACCCGAGCCCUAACCUUAACACACCAGGGGAUCCCCACUAACCCGAGCCCUAACCUUAACACACCAGGGGAUCCCCACUAACCCGAGCCCGAACCCUUAACACACCAGGGGAUCCCCACUAACCCGAGCCCUAACCUUAACACACCAGGGGAUCCCCACUAAACCAAACCCUAACCUUAACACACCAGGGGAUCCCCACUAACCCGAGCCCUAACCCUUAACACACCAGGGGAUCCCCACUAACCCGAGCCCUAACCUUAACACACCAGGGGAUCCCCACUAACCCGAGCCCUAACCUUAACACACCAGGGGAUCCCCACUAAACCAAACCCUAACCCUUAACACACCAGGGGAUCCCCACUAACCCGAGCCCUAACCUUAACACACCAGGGGAUCCCCACUAAACCAAACCCUAACCCUUAACACACCAGGGGAUCCCCACUAACCCGAGCCCUAACCCUUAACACACCAGGGGAUCCCCACUAAACCAAACCCUAACCCUUAACACACCAGGGGAUCCCCACUAACCCGAGCCCUAACCUUAACACACCAGGGGAUCCCCACUAAACCAAACCCUAACCCUUAACACACCAGGGGAUCCCCACUAACCCGAGCCCUAACCCUUAACACACCAGGGGAUCCCCACUAAACCAACUAACCUUAACACACCAGGGGAUCCCCACUAACCCGAGCCCUAACCUUUAACACACCAGGGGCCAGUCAGAGGAACUCUGAACCAGCAGAGCUGCCAACAGGGGCACUGCCAGAGGCCCUCUCUGUGGUUACCAUCUCGCAUGUUGGUGAGCUGAAAAUCAACCAAUCGAUCUUGUGCUGAAACAGGAUUUCAACCCUAACCUACUUGUAAAAAAAAAAAAAGACCUGUCCAUAACUUUCACCCUUGCAGUCGCCACUGUUUCCGUUUCAUUCUGCAGCUUUGUGUUAGCAGAAGAGGCUGUAAGCCUACGUGAAUAACACUUGGAGGACUUGAAAUGAGAUUUAUAUUUAUUUCAUAAAAUAAUAAAUGAAUAAAGGGUUGAUAUAAAUGCCUAAGGUCGGUUUGCACUGUGUUCUGUCUUUGAAGUCCAUUAUUUAUUAGCUGUGAAGAACAACAAAAACCAGAACAAUUUGGAAUUAAAUCGCGCCCCUUCGCGCCAUGCUGCUGUAAAAACACAUGUUGCUCUGCAGCUGUGCUCUCUGUUAGUGUGGGCACAAAUUAUACCUCCAAUCUAGUGCCAUGGUGCCAAAUGUGCACCCCUGGCCAUGCAGCGCCUGAAACCAGGUCUCCACAAAGUGGCUUCAUGUUCCCUCAGCUUUAGGCUUCAAUUUCAAAAAAACUAGGACUAUAUAAGGCUAAAGGCAUGGCUUCAAUAAGAAGGGAGGUCAGGGAGCUAAAGGGAUCAUUUACAGAUCUGACCACGACAUCCUGUAGACACAGCUAUUGUAUGGGUGCAUCAAAACGUUCUGUCAGUCCAAAUACAGCUGUCCAUUCCUAUUUCAAUUUAUAAUUUCAAAUAUUUUACACAAUAGUUAGCCUAACUGAAAACUACAGGUAUAAUAUCGAUGUGAAUUAAAGCAUUUUGUACUGCAAACUUGCAUAAGACCAGACUGACACAUGUAGAAUAAAUUGAACAUGUAAAAAACAUA